ACGGAGGGUGCGAGCGUUAAUCGGAAUAACUGGGCGUAAAGGGCACGCAGGCGGACUUUUAAGUGAGGUGUGAAAGCCCCGGGCUUAACCUGGGAAUUGCAUUUCAGACUGGGAGUCUAGAGUACUUUAGGGAGGGGUAGAAUUCCACGUGUAGCGGUGAAAUGCGUAGAGAUGUGGAGGAAUACCGAAGGCGAAGGCAGCCCCUUGGGAAUGUACUGACGCUCAUGUGCGAAAGCGUGGGGAGCAAACAG
rnacentral:rRNA from 1 species